CUUACCUUAUGGGGUCGCUCUAAGUAUUAAAUGAGAUCAAUUAAGCAAAGUGCUGUGAGCAGUGCCUGGGGUCCUGCAUGCACGAUGAGAAACUUCAUCAAACCUGGAUGUCACCAGAGGUGCACUAUCAAGAACAGACCAAAGUAAAAUGAGAAGAAAGAGAAAGCAAUGGAGAUGGUAGAGAAAGGAGGAGGGUAAGGAGGAGCAGAGAAAGGAAAGGAGUGAGGCAGAGGUUUCCUAUCUAGCAUCCAUUACACUCUUCUUCCUUGUAACAAAACUCUGUACAAGGAUGCAUCUCAUAGGAAUCUGAGGAUAAACCCUGAUUGUUCUAAACCAGUUGGCUGCUAACUAUCUCUGUAGGCAGCCGUGUUGGAGGCCAUCCUAGCCAGUAAAACGUGAGAAGAAUGUGCUGGGGGUGAAUCUUAGAAAGGGUUCAUUGCGCUUUAAUAAAAGACAGGCACAGAGAAAGGUUUAGCUCCUCUACGAGAUGUUGUGAUAUCCAGACAGUGUGACUGGACUGAGACAGCCAUCUAUUCCAGGACCAUUAGGGGAUCAACCUGAGGACAGCAGAGUGACAGAUAAAAGGGAUAUACGUUCUCGAAUCCAUCACUGAACAACUAAAUCAGCCAGCCUUGGAAGUACUCUGUCUCCUAACUCCUCAUUAUUGGAGAGAAACAGCAUUAUUUAAAGUAGCUGUGUCAAGGUUUCUACUACAUAAGCAGUUUAGUCAGAGGGCCGAUGAGCUGACUUCCACGUGCUGCCUUGGUGGAGAAGCGGGUUGGCCCUGUCCAGCCUCUUAUAGUUAAUUCUCCUGAAAAGGCCUGAUGGAUGAUCUCAAGCCUGUAGUCAUGAAGAGGCCACUACUUUGAGCCUGCAGACCCUGUCAAGAAACCUAGUCAUCUGGGGCUGUGGAGGAGGCAGUGCUGGGAGUCUGCACGGGUGACCACACACAGAGAAACGCCUGGCUUGUCCCAGUGGGAUUUAAUUCAGCUGUCGAAGUUCAGUGCUGGGACCAUGCCCUUCCACGGCCCAGAUCCACUGCUUCUUGAGCCCCUCUGUACCCAGCCCUGUGGGAGCAGUCUCCUUGGGGCACGCAGAAGCCAAGUGGGGGGAUCAAAUUGGUCAAAUUCAUAUGAAAACUUCAGAUUUUCAGAAAACCAUCCUUAACUAGGCCAAAAGAAGUUUCUCAUGUAUUUUAAUAUUAGCACUUAUUCAGAUUCCUUAAGGGCAGAAAGUUUGUCUCCUUCAUUUUGUAUCCUCAGUACCAAGCGCAGGGUCUAGCACAAGAUAGGCGGCCCACCGCCGUCGUUGUUAAUAGAGUGGUUAGUGAAGGCAUUUGAUCAGAUUCCUAAAUACUUCGAUAUUCUGCCUGAUACCACUGGCCUGUUUUUUUACGAACAUAUUAAUGCAUAUAUAGUUCAGCUAAAAUAUAGUAUUUGGUUUUAUAGACUCAAAAACCUUAUUUAUAGAAUUGCUUCUAUCUGACCUUUGUCACCUGUAAAAAUGGCAGUUCCACGUGGUUCAACUUCGUAACUUAAUUUGGUUUUAUAGUAUUUAUAUUUUUCAAGGCAUAUUCUUUCUAGAGGGGGAGAAAAUUCUCCUCUCCCCUCUUAGGGUCUCCAGCUGAGCCUAAGAACUAAACUGACAUAAGGCGGACUAACAGCAGAAAAGCAUCCAAAUUUUAUUAAAUUUUUAUACGUACACGGGAGAGUUCACAAGCUGAUGAGAU
rnacentral:lncRNA from 1 species